AUUGAACGCUGGCGGCAUGCUUUACACAUGCAAGUCGAACGGUAACAGGCCGCAAGGUGCUGACGAGUGGCGAACGGGUGAGUAAUGCAUCGGAACGUGCCCAGUCGUGGGGGAUAACUACUCGAAAGAGUAGCUAAUACCGCAUACGAUCUAUGGAUGAAAGCGGGGGACCGUAGGGCCUCGCGCGAUUGGAGCGGCCGAUGUCAGAUUAGGUAGUUGGUGGGGUAAAGGCUCACCAAGCCAACGAUCUGUAGCUGGGCUGAGAGGACAACCAGCCACACUGGGACUGAGACACGGCCCAGACUCCUACGGGAGGCAGCAGUGGGGAAUUUUGGACAAUGGGCGCAAGCCUGAUCCAGCAAUGCCGCGUGCAGGAAGAAGGCCUUCGGGUUGUAAACUGCUUUUGUACGGAACGAAACGGCUCUGGUUAAUACCCGGGGCUAAUGACGGUACCGUAAGAAUAAGCACCGGCUAACUACGUG
rnacentral:rRNA from 1 species